rnacentral:tRNA from 1 species
UGGGAUGUAGUUCAGUGGUGGAGCACUUGCCUAGCAUGCUCAAGGGUCUGGGUUCAAUCCCCAGCACCACAA